rnacentral:rRNA from 1 species
UGCUAUAAUGCAAGUCGAACGCAAUCUUUGACUAAUGAGUGCUUGCACUCAGCGGUCAAAGUGCGAGUGGCGAACGGGUGAGUAACACGUGGGCAAUCUGCCCAAAAGUGGGGGAUAACACUUGGAAACAGGUGCUAAUACCGCAUCAACCGGCUGACCGCAUGGUCGGCCGGGCAAAGACGGCGUCAGCUGUCGCUUUUGGAUGAGCCCGCGGCGUAUUAACUAGUUGGUAAGGUAACGGCUUACCAAGGUGAUGAUACGUAGCCGAACUGAGAGGUUGAUCGGCCACAUUGGGACUGAGACACGGCCCAAACUCCUGCGGGAGGCAGCAGUAGGGAAUCUUCCACAAUGGACGCAAGUCUGAUGGAGCAACGCCGCGUGUAUGAAGAAGGUCUUCGGAUCGUAAAAUACUGUUGUCAGAGAAGAACACGUGAUAGAGUAACUGCUAUGGCGCUGACGGUAUCUGACCAGCAAGUCACGGCUAACUACGUGCCAGCAGCCGCGGUAAUACGUAGGUGGCAAGCGUUGUCCGGAUUUAUUGGGCGUAAAGGGAACGCAGGCGGUCUUUUAAGUCUGAUGUGAAAGCCUUCGGCUUAACCGGAGAAGUGCAUUGGAAACUGGAAGACUUGAGUGCAGAAGAGGAGAGUGGAACUCCAUGUGUAGCGGUGAAAUGCGUAGAUAUAUGGAAGAAUACCAGUGGCGAAAGCGGCUCUCUGGUCUGUAACUGACGCUGAGGUUCG